rnacentral:rRNA from 1 species
GGAAGUAAAAGUUGUAACAAGGUUUCCGUAGGUGAACCUGCGGAAGGAUCAUUACUGAUUUGGCGGACCGAGCGUCAGCGAGGUUCCGCGAUCGCUUGUAUUUAAAACCCCCACUUUUGAAUUAUGUAUAUUUUUGUAUUUUUUAAAUGAUAAAAAAAAAAAAGAUCACUUUCAACAACGGAUCUCUUGGCUCUCGCAUCGAUGAAGAACGUAGCGAAGUGCGAUAAGUAAUGUGAAUUGCAGUAUUCCGUGAAUCAUCGAAUCUUUGAACGCAUAUUACACUUUCUGGUAUUCCGGAAAGUAUGCCUGUUUGAGGGUCAGUUAAAUAAAAUCGGUGUUGUUGCUGCCUUUCGUGGUGACGCGUCGGAAUUGAGUUGUCUUACCCUUCGGUUAAGUGACUUAAAAUUUUGCAUGAUUUUCGAACGUAUUUAAAUUGCUUACGUACGUUUGAGAUAUCGAAUAAUUAGGAGUGGUCAUUCUCAUGAUUCGCGCCUAUAAUUUUUCAUCAAAAUGACCUCAAAUCAGGUAAGAGUACCCGCUGAACUUAAGCAUAUCAAUAAGCGGAGGA